GAUGAAGAACGCAGCGAAAUGCGAUACGUAGUGUGAAUUGCAGAAUUCAGUGAAUCAUCGAAUCUUUGAACGCACAUUGCGCCCGCCAGUAUUCUGGCGGGCAUGCCUGUUCGAGCGUCAUUACAACCCUCAGGCCCCCGGGCCUGGCGUUGGGGAUCGGCGGAGCCCCCCGUGGGCACACGCCGUCCCCCAAAUGCAGUGGCGGUCCCGCCGCAGCUUCCAUCACGUAGUAGCUAACACCUCGCGACUGGAGAGCGGCGCGGCCACGCCGUAAAACACCCAACUCUUCUGAAGUUGACCUCGAAUCAGGUAGGAAUACCCGCUGAACUUAAGCAUAUCAAUAAGCGGAGGA
rnacentral:misc_RNA from 1 species